GUCUUCAUAAGAGUCAAAUGCUUUUAUGUUUAAGGAUAAGCUGUGAAUGUACCAAGUUUACUUGGAAAUUGUGUGAUUUCACGCUGCUGAAAAAAGUUUCGUAGGAAGAAAAUAUUGCCCGUACCGCAAACCGACACAGGUACUCGAGUGGAGAACACUAAGGUGAGCGAGUGAACUAUUGUUAAGGAACUCUGCAAAAUGAGUCCGUAACUUCGGAAGAAGGACUGCUGGUUUUAUACCAGCCGCAGCAAAUAGGCCCAAACAACUGUUUAUCAAAAACACAGGUUUCUGCAAAAUCGUAAGAUGAAGUAUAGGGGCUGACGCCUGCCCAGUGCUGGAAGGUUAAAAGGAGGACUUAGCUUCGGCGAAGGUCUUAAUUGAAGCCCCAGUGAACGGCGGCCGUAACUAUAACGGUCCUAAGGUAGCGAAAUUCCUUGUCGGGUAAGUUCCGACCCGCAUGAAAGGCGUAAUGAUUUGGGCGCUGUCUCAACAAUAGACUCGGUGAAAUUUAAAUUCCAGUGAAGAUGCUGGGUACCCGCGACAGGACGGAAAGACCCCGUGGAGCUUUACUGUAGCUUGAUAUUGAAUGUUUGUGCUGCAUGUGCAGGAUAGGUAGGAGACUUUGAAGUCGGAACGCUAGUUUCGAUUGAGUCACCCUUGAGAUACUACCCCUGUUGUAUGAACGUUCUAACUCUGAUCAGUUAUCCUGAUCGAAGACAGUGUCUGGCAGGCAGUUUGACUGGGGCGGUCGCCUCCUAAAAGAUAACGGAGGCGCUCAAAGGUUUGCUCAGAAUGGUUGGAAAUCAUUCGUAGCGUGUAAAGGCAUAAGCAAGCUUGACUGUGAGACUGACAAGUCGAGCAGGUACGAAAGUAGGACUUAGUGAUCCGGUGGUUCCGUAUGGAAGGGCCAUCGCUCAACGGACAAAAGCUACCCCGGGGAUAACAGGCUCAUCUCCCCCAAGAGUCCACAUCGACGGGGAGGUUUGGCACCUCGAUGUCGGCUCAUCGCAUCCUGGGGCUGUAGUCGGUCCCAAGGGUUGGGCUGUUCGCCCAUUAAAGCGGUACGCGAGCUGGGUUCAGAACGUCGUGAGACAGUUCGGUCCCUAUCCGUCGUGGGCGCAGGAAAUUUGAGAGGAUCUGUCCUUAGUACGAGAGGACCGGGAUGGACAUACCUCUGGUGUACCAGUUGUUCUGCCAAGAGCACCGCUGGGUAGCUACGUAUGGAUUAGAUAAUCGCUGAAAGCAUCUAAGUGAGAAACUAACCUCGAGAUGAGAUUUCCCAUUCGUCAGAAGUAAGACCCCUGAGAGACGAUCAGGUAGAUAGGCUAGAAGUGGAAGUGUAGUGAUGCAUGGAGCGGACUAGUACUAAUAGGUCGAGGACUUAACCAAG
rnacentral:rRNA from 1 species